UGUGACGGCAAGCUCCUUUCUGCUGGAAGCGUAGCGAGUUGUGGGAGAGGGAGCGAGGCGAUUGAUCUCCAUUGGAGGCGGUGAGGUUAGGGUUUAGGCGCUCUGCGGCUGCUCGCGCCUCGCGCCAACCGCAGCGGGGUGCGCCAAAGACGCGAGGCCGUGAUCCACUGAUCCCCUUCUCAUCCUCACUGGCCCUUUCCACUGGAGCAGAUUGGAAUGCUUCCUCUCCGGUCGGAGGAGGCACAGAGGUGAGCAAGGGACCACCGCCGUCGAUGAAGGCCGGGGAUCAUGGUCAUCCCUGAUCCGAUUCUUCAGGACAAGAAAAGAAAGAUAUGUCCAGAUCGGCGCUUAUAAUUCAGCGCUCCAUCCAGCAUCAUGGGACCAUAAUAAUAAUGGUUCACUUGUUAGGCUGUACUGUACUGUCGCCGAGCACCGAAAUGGACCCCUCUGAGGCGUUUUAUUCCGAAGUGAAUGAUCGCCACGGCUUAUCUACAGCAUGGGCGCCCUUGCAUUCAUUCUGCUUGGAAUACAUAUCAUUCAGCCGUAUGUGCAGCCUUGCAAGCCACGCAACAGCGUGCACAAAGGCAAGCGUUUCAACGCUUGUUGGCGGCGCUGCUGUGGAAGUAGAGAGGUGGGAUGACCGCACUCCAACUCCAAUCCCAAAGGAGAUGAAAAUGGGAUGAACCAGCUCAUGCAUGCAUCAUGAUGUCGUUGCGACCCGGGCACCGUGUUAAUCCAGACCCACUAGCUCGCCCAGGUUCGUACAAUUUUACACGCUGCCGAAUCAAGAGCAAGACGCGCUGCUUCGCCUCCUUCGCCUUAUCAUUUGCGCUGUCUGUGACCCCAUCACUUUGGCAUCACCUUUUCUCUCGAUGGCCUUUUCCUUUACCAGUUUGUCGCCUUAGCCAUGCGAGAUGCCUUUCUGUCUAUGCCUUUGCUCGAUGCUUUAAUUUACGCAUGCAGGUAAACCCGUUACUCUUACUGAUACUAUUUUUUUUUCCAUUUCCCGUUUUUCAGCAAAUUUACCUUUGUAUUGCUUUUUUUUAAUUUCGCCCCUUAAUACGUAGCAUAUUUGGGCCAAAGUUGGAGGAACAAUUGAUUAUUCGAGCAACUAUUUGUAGCAAUUAAUUGAA